UGUGGAUUACUACAUGCUAGUGAUCACCAACUGCUCUGGGAUUAAAAAUUAUUUCUUUUGUUUUUUUAACUUUGAGAAUUAGGCUAUUGUUGUCACACCAUUGCACAAACCUUUGGAUUUCUGACAUGUAUACAGUUGAGCUGCUACCUCUUUGCAUUAAGCCAAGAACAGCUGUAUCGUCUGAUAAUUUGAAAAUGAAGUUGGUUUGACUACUGCUUGUACAAUCAUUUGUAUAAAGUGUGAACAGAACUCGAGAGCUCACACAGCCCUGAGGGGCACCUGUGCUCAUAGACCGUGACUCGGAAAGAGCUUUGUUGCGCUUGACAUACUGUGUACGAUUUGUUAAAAAUGAAUGGUACCAUCGCAUAAUGUUAUGAUUAACAGAGUUAGUGUGUAUUGUGUGUAUUGCCUGUUUAGGAUUCUGUAGCAUUUCAAUUGGGAGGAUGUUUUUAUAGAACUCUGUGCAUGGAGUAUCUACAGGCUGUUUGUCCCAUUUAGUGUAAUCUUGCUCAGUGAAGGGAUCCCACACUUCACUGCCGUAUAGGGCAAAGGGUUCGAUUGCACUUUUAAAUAUUUAGAGCCAAUUUUAUUGGGGGAUUGAUGUUGUAGAGCCUCCUUUUACUGGCAUGGAAAGCCCUGUGUGCCUUCUCUUUCAGUGACUUCACUGCAAAGAAAACUCCUAGAUGAACUGAUUGUCAGUCAGAGGUAGUUGGUUGUGUUCCAAAUUGUUGUUGUUCAGUGUGAAGUUGUAACCGUUUUCCUGAGAUCUAGAUCGCUUCUGGAAAACCAAGACUCUGGUGUCUCUGGUCGCGUCAUUAUCUGCAGGUCUGACAGUCCUGCUCCAGCAGUGCCCAGGUCUGACAGUGCUGCUCCAGCAGUGCCAGGCUCUGCUGUUCUGGGUCCAGAUGGGCUGUCAGUGCCCAGGUGUAAAUGUGAUGGGAUGUGUGGUGGUUUGGUAGGAAGCCAGUCUGAUUCUUAUUCAGGACAAUGUGCUCAGUAAGGAGAGCCGGUAAUCAGAUAUUCAAGAUACGACAGAGUUCCUUCCCCAGGUUACUGUUCACACGGAAGCCCCGGUACCUGUUGGGGUCGAGUCUGUCUCCAUUCUUACAGACGGGCGUGAUCAGUCCUUGAUUCCAGGCCCCAGGGAAACAUCGAACUGUCAAGACAAGGUUGAGGAGUUUCAGCAGGCUUUGCUGUAGGUCUGAGCUGCAGCUAAGUCAAGCGUUGUUGACUGUGUCUUGGCCACAGACCUUUUGUGGUCUGAGAGUUGUCUGUGUAUGUAUAUUGUAACCUUCUGCUGAAACAGCCCCUGAAACGCGCUCGUUUUGUGCCGUGAACACGCUAGGAUUGUAAAUAACACUGAAGUUUAGCUCAACUUAUCGUUUUGUCUGGUUUAAACCGUAAAACAGUUAGAAAAGAGAUGGUUUAGCAUGUUGAAAGUGUGUUUUGAAAAUUGAGAUUUUUGACCAUUUAUCGACAGGCGCGCGACUUAUGAAAAAAGCAAAAUUGGGCCAAAUUUCGUUUGCGAGGAAACGGGCACAGAACACUUUUCCUGCAUUUCACAUGCAUCCUAGAGCACGGCAAAUGUAUCACAAAUUGUCUAGGUGGUGUUAAAACCCCAACCCUAACCCUAGC
ensembl:lincRNA